ACAAUUUCUUACAUUGAUCCAUUUAUUAACUCAUUAGUGAUUUUGUGGUUUUCACUGCUUUUAUACAAGCUUUUGCUUUUAUGAUCAUCAUAGUUUCUUAUACCCAAGUCCUCUUUGCCUUACUGAAAAAGAAUUCUGAGAAGGGCAGAAGCAAAAGCUUCCUCAUGUGCAGUGCCCACCUGCUCUCUGUCUCUUUGUUCUAUAGCAGUGUCUUCUUCAUGUAUGGGUGCCCCAGGUCUGGCCCAGAUUAACAGUGGAAUGAAAUGUAUUUUCCGUUCUACAUGAUUAUAAUUCCUCUGCAGACUCCUUUAUUUACAGUAUGAAAAACAAAGAAGUUUUAGGUACACUUAGAACAAUGAUAAAGAA
rnacentral:lncRNA from 1 species